CCUAACACAUGCAAGUCGAACGGUAACAGGAAGCAGCUUGCUGCUUCGCUGACGAGUGGCGGACGGGUGAGUAAUGUCUGGGAAGCUGCCUGAUGGAGGGGGAUAACUACUGGAAACGGUAGCUAAUACCGCAUAAUGUCGCAAGACCAAAGAGGGGGACCUUCGGGCCUCUUGCCAUCGGAUGUGCCCAGAUGGGAUUAGCUUGUUGGUGGGGUAACGGCUCACCAAGGCGACGAUCCCUAGCUGGUCUGAGAGGAUGACCAGCCACACUGGAACUGAGACACGGUCCAGACUCCUACGGGAGGCAGCAGUGGGGAAUAUUGCACAAUGGGCGCAAGCCUGAUGCAGCCAUGCCGCGUGUAUGAAGAAGGCCUUCGGGUUGUAAAGACGGU
rnacentral:rRNA from 1 species